GUGGGGAAUAUUGGACAAUGGGGGGAACCCUGAUCCAGCCAUGCCGCGUGUGUGAAGAAGGCCUUUUGGUUGUAAAGCACUUUAAGCGAGGAGGAGGCUACCGAGAUUAAUACUCUUGGAUAGUGGACGUUACUCGCAGAAUAAGCACCGGCUAACUCUGUGCCAGCAGCCGCGGUAAUACAGAGGGUGCAAGCGUUAAUCGGAUUUACUGGGCGUACAGCGCGCGUAGGUGGCCAAUUAAGUCAAAUGUGAAAUCCCCGAGCUUAACUUGGGAAUUGCAUUCGAUACUGGUUGGCUAGAGUAUGGGAGAGGAUGGUAGAAUUCCAGGUGUAGCGGUGAAAUGCGUAGAGAUCUGGAGGAAUACCGAUGGCGAAGGCAGCCAUCUGGCCUAAUACUGACACUGAGGUGCGAAAGCAUGGGGAGCAAACAGGAUUAGAAACCCUUGUAGUCC
rnacentral:rRNA from 1 species